GCGCCCGUAGCUCAGCUGGAUAGAGCAACAGCCUUCUAAGUUGUGGGUCAGAGGUUCGAAUCCUCUCGGGCGCG
rnacentral:tRNA from 1 species